CUUUAACACACGUUAGAACCUAAAGUCAAAGUUUUUACAGAUAUCAGUUUAGAAGAACUUUUUAUUGAGUGUUAAUGUUAAACAUUCCUGACACAAAACAUCACCAGAGUCAAAGUCUGCCCUGGGAUUUGUAGUUCUCAGACUUUGGUUUGGUUUCAGAUGAAGAUCGUCUGUCCAGGAAGAUAAGUAUCUCAGACACCGUCUCUCUCCAGACAGCCAUAGACCAUGAGUCCAGUUCUGAUCCUCAGGUUUGGUUCUGUGUGUCUAAGUUUAACCGUUCAUCUCCACAUUUACUGAUGUUUCACUUUGUGCUCUGCAGAAACCUCAGACUGAUCAUCUUUGAGACGCUGGAGAACACCAUUGAGGAUAGAGGACCUGUGGAGGAGGAGGAAAGGAGGAAGAGGAUGCAGGUGGUGGAGAGGUUUCAGACGGCUCCUUCUGAGGAAAUAGCAGCUCUCUGUGGAUCCAGGCUGAGACACUUACUGAAACCUCAUUGCUUCAGUCCAAACUAGAUCAGGUCUUUGAUCUGAUUGUUCGUCCUCCUCCGUCUCCAUCUGGACAAUCGUCUCGUCGUUGGACGCCGAUCUAUGAGAUGAACUUUCCUGACCUCUGUGUGUAUUAGAGACUCAACAGGAUGACCUGGAU